GAUGAACGCUGGCGGCGUGCCUAAUACAUGCAAGUCGAGCGAACAGACGAGGAGCUUGCUCCUUCGACGUUAGCGGCGGACGGGUGAGUAACACGUAGGUAACCUACCUAUAAGACUGGGAUAACUUCGGGAAACCGGAGCUAAUACCGGAUAAUAUUUCGAACCGCAUGGUUCGAUAGUGAAAGAUGGCUUUGCUAUCACUUAUAGAUGGACCUGCGCCGUAUUAGCUAGUUGGUAAGGUAACGGCUUACCAAGGCAACGAUACGUAGCCGACCUGAGAGGGUGAUCGGCCACACUGGAACUGAGACACGGUCCAGACUCCUACGGGAGGCAGCAGUAGGGAAUCUUCCGCAAUGGGCGAAAGCCUGACGGAGCAACGCCGCGUGAGUGAUGAAGGUCUUCGGAUCGUAAAACUCUGUUAUUAGGGAAGAACAAACGUGUAAGUAACUGUGCACGUCUUGACAGUACCUAAUCAGAAAGCCACGGCUAACUACGUG
rnacentral:rRNA from 1 species